GGUGAGAGCUGCAGUGUAUGGGAGUUCUGUAACCUGGGUUAGAGAAAAGUAGUUUACAAAGUUCUGGGAGCCGCAAUAUGCAAUAUGCGUGUUUUCUAUAGCCCAAGUGUGGGAGACAUAGCUGACGGGAGUACCGUAACCUCGAUGAAGGGAAAUGCAGUUUCCAGGAGUUCGGUAUCCUGUGUGUAGAGAAUUUACAAGAUUCCUGUAACCUGGGAUUUGGCAUUCGCAAUAUCCGGGAUAUCUACAGCCUGAGUAUAGGAGAUGCAGCUCACGUGCUUUUUGUGACAUUGGGGUAGAGAGAUGCAGUUUAACAGAGUUCUGUAUCCUGGGUCUAGAGAGAAGCAGUUUACAAGAGUUCUGUAGCCUGGGAGUAGGAGUACGCAAUAUCUGGAACAUCUGUAGCGUGAGUAUAGCAGACACAGCUUGCGGUAUUUCUGUAUCCUUGGUCUAGAGAGAAGCAGUGUACAAGAGUUCUGUAGUCUGGAUGUACAGAGAAGUACUUUACAGAGUUCUGUGGCAUGGAAGUAGCAAUGCACCAUAUGCAGGUUUUCCAUAACACGAGUGAGGGAGACAAGGUAACGGGGGUUUUGUGUCAUUGGUGAAGGGCAAUGUAGUUGAUGAGAGUUCUGUUUCCCUGGUAUAUGGAAAAGCAGUAUACAGUGUUGUGUAGCUUGGGAGUAGCAAUACGCGAUUUGCGGUUUUUGUGUAGCUUAACUGUAGGAGACGCAGCUUAGGGGAGUUCAGUAAGCUGGGUGGUGAGAGAUGCAGUUUAUGGGAUUCUGUACGCUCGGUGUAGUUAGAAGCACUUUACAGAGUUCUGUCGUGUGGGAGUAGCAAUAUGCACUCUGCAGGUUUUCUAUAGCCCGUGUGUGGGAGAUGCAGCUAAUGGGUGUUCUGUAACGUGGUUGCAGGGAAAUGCAGCCUCCGGGAGUUCUAUAAGCUGGGUGUGGAGAGAUGCAGUUUAUGGGAAUUGUGGAAGCUGCUUACAGAGAGAAACAGUUUACCGAGUUCUGUAGCGUGGGAGUGUGCAAUACACAAUAUGUGGGUUUCCUAUAACCUGAAUGUGGGAGAUGCAGCUCAUGUGCUUGUUGUUAGGUUGGGUAGAGAGAUGCAGUUUACCAGAAUUCUGUAUCCUGGGUGUAGAAUGAAGGCGUUUACAAGAGUUCUGGAGCCUGGGACUAGCAAUACGCAAUAUGCGGGUUUGCUAUGAGCUGUAGAAUGAAUGCCUGGGGGUAGGCAUUCGCACUGUACAGGAUUUCUGUAACCUGGGUAUUGAGAGAAGCAGUUUGCACCAGUUCUGUAGCCUGGGAGUAGGCAUUCGCAAUAUCUGGGAUAUCUGUAGCCUUGGUGCAGCAGACACAGCUUACCGUAUUUCUGUAUCCUAGGUCUAGAAAGAAGAAGCUUACAAGAGUUCCGUAGCCUGGGAGUAGACAUUCGAAAUAAGUGGGAUUUCUAUAGCCUGAGUGUAGGAGAUGCAGCUCACGUGCUUUUUGUGACAUUGGGGUAGAGAGAUGCAGUUUAACAGAGUUCCGUAUCCUGGGUGUAGAAUGAAGCAGUUUACAAGAGUUCUGUAGCCUGGGAGUUGGAGUACGCUAUAUCUGGGAUAUCCGUAGCGUGAGUGUAGCAAACGCAGCUUGCAGUAUUUCUGUAUCCUGGGUCUAGAGAGAAGCAGUUUACAAGAGUUCUGUAGCCUGGAUGUACAGAGAAGUACUUUACAGAGUUCUGUAGCAUGGAAGUAGCAAUGCACAAUAUGCAGGUUUUCCAUAACACGAGUGUGGGAGAUGCAGCAACGGUUGUUUUGUAACAUUGGUGAAGGGCAAUGUAGUUGAUGAGAGUUCUGUUUCCCUGGUAUAUAGAAAAGCAGUAUACAGUGUUGUGUAGCUUGGGAGUAGCAAUACGCGAUUUGCGGUUUUGGUGUAGCUUAACUGUAGGAGACGCAGCUUACUGGAGUUCAGUAAGCUGGGUGGUGAGAGAUGCAGUUUAUGGGAUUCUGUACGCUCGGUGUAGUUAGAAGCACUUUACAGAGUUCUGUAGUGUGGGAGUUGCAUACGCACUCUGCAGGUUUUCUAUAGCCCAUGCGGGGGAGUAGCAAUAUGCAAUAUGUGGGUUUCCUAUAACCUGAAUGUGGGAGAUGCAGCUCAUGUGCUUGUUGUUAGGUUGGGUAGAGAGAUGCAGUUUACCAGAAUUCUGUAUCCUGGGUGUAGAAUGAAGGCGUUUACAAGAGUUCUGGAGCCUGGGACUAGCAAAACGCAAUAUGCGGGUUUGCUAUGAGCUGUAGAAUGAAUGCCUGGGAGUAGGCAUUCGCACUGUACAGGAUUUCUGUAACCUGGGUAUUGAGAGAAGCAGUUUGCACCAGUUCUGUAGCCUGGGAGUAGGCAUUCGCAAUAUCUGGGAUAUCUGUAGCCUUGGUGCAGCAGACACAGCUUACCGUAUUUCUGUAUCCUAGGUCUAGAAAGAAGAAGCUUACAAGAGUUCUGUAGCCUGGGAGUAGACAUUCGAAAUAAGUGGGAUUUCUAUAGCCUGAGUGUAGGAGAUGCAGCUCACGUGCUUUUUGUGACAUUGGGGUAGAGAGAUGCAGUUUAACAGAGUUCCGUAUCCUGGGUGUAGAAUGAAGCAGUUUACAAGAGUUCUGUAGCCUGGGAGUUGGAGUACGCUAUAUCUGGGAUAUCCGUAGCGUGAGUGUAGCAAACGCAGCUUGCAGUAUUUCUGUAUCCUGGGUCUAGAGAGAAGCAGUUUACAAGAGUUCUGUAGCCUGGAUGUACAGAGAAGUACUUUACAGAGUUCUGUAGCAUGGAAGUAGCAAUGCACAAUAUGCAGGUUUUCCAUAACACGAGUGUGGGAGAUGCAGCAACGGUUGUUUUGUAACAUUGGUGAAGGGCAAUGUAGUUGAUGAGAGUUCUGUUUCCCUGGUAUAUAGAAAAGCAGUAUACAGUGUUGUGUAGCUUGGGAGUAGCAAUACGCGAUUUGCGGUUUUGGUGUAGCUUAACUGUAGGAGACGCAGCUUACUGGAGUUCAGUAAGCUGGGUGGUGAGAGAUGCAGUUUAUGGGAUUCUGUACGCUCGGUGUAGUUAGAAGCACUUUACAGAGUUCUGUAGUGUGGGAGUUGCAUACGCACUCUGCAGGUUUUCUAUAGCCCAUGCGGGGGAGUAGCAAUAUGCAAUAUGUGGGUUUCCUAUAACCUGAAUGUGGGAGAUGCAGCUCAUGUGCUUGUUGUUAGGUUGGGUAGAGAGAUGCAGUUUACCAGAAUUCUGUAUCCUGGGUGUAGAAUGAAGGCGUUUACAAGAGUUCUGGAGCCUGGGACUAGCAAAACGCAAUAUGCGGGUUUGCUAUGAGCUGUAGAAUGAAUGCCUGGGAGUAGGCAUUCGCACUGUACAGGAUUUCUGUAACCUGGGUAUUGAGAGAAGCAGUUUGCACCAGUUCUGUAGCCUGGGAGUAGGCAUUCGCAAUAUCUGGGAUAUCUGUAGCCUUGGUGCAGCAGACACAGCUUACCGUAUUUCUGUAUCCUAGGUCUAGAAAGAAGAAGCUUACAAGAGUUCUGUAGCCUGGGAGUAGACAUUCGAAAUAAGUGGGAUUUCUAUAGCCUGA